UACGUAGGGUGCAGGCGUUAAUCGGAAUUACUGGGCGUAAAGCGUGCGCAGGCGGCUUCCUAAGUCAGAUGUGAAAUCCCCGGGCUUAACCUGGGAACUGCGUUUGAAACUGGGAGGCUAGAGUGCGGCAGAGGGGGGUGGAAUUCCACGUGUAGCAGUGAAAUGCGUAGAUAUGUGGAGGAACACCGAUGGCGAAGGCAGCCCCCUGGGCCAGCACUGACGCUCAUGCACGAAAGCGUGGGGAGCGAACAGG
rnacentral:rRNA from 1 species